AGCUAGAUUUCCAAGACUACUGCUAAUACAACAUUUGCAUUACACAAAAUUGUACAAAUUACCUUAAAAUUCAAAUACUAGAUCACUGAAAAGCUAAGAAUGCCCCUUCCACUUUAUGCUAAUGGCCUCUUGAAAAAUUCAAAUGCAACAAAGAUUAAAAAAAAAUGAUAGAACUGAUAGUAGGUAGAAAAUGUUUUUUGGUAUUCAAAUCCAAUUAGACGUGUACCUCCUUUGCAAUGUGCCAACAAAAAUACAUUACAUACAAGAGUUCCAACAGAGCUGGUCCUUUAGAUAGAAGGCCAUUAUGCCACACCUUGCUAUUCAAGCAGUGGAACAGAUGCAAUUCUACAUCAAUAGGCAAAGCUAAGGACCAAAGCAACCUAUGCUACAUAUCCAAUCGGCAAGAAUAGCGAGGAAGAAAAAAAAAUCCUCUUACAACCCAGAUCAUCAAGGUGCCUGCUAAAAAAUAGCGCAAAUGAUGUUCUCACAAACAUUCACAACACCUUCAGUGCGCUGCACUCGACUCAACACUUCAAUCUGUGUACAUUGCAUAAUAGAAAUCAAGCUUGAGCACCUAUUAAGUUUUCUUAGUCAAACAAACCACCUGUGCCUAAUCCCCCUCACAGCAACUCCUUCCGACGCUGCUCUUCUAAAGGAUCUGGACUCUUCAUUAUUCUUCUCAUUUGUCUGAAAAUAAAAUCAAGGCCAAUUUAAUUCUAAGUUUCAAAUAAAAUGCUUAAUCAGUUCCUGAAUCUUUAUUCAUCAGUCCUAGAAUACCUGUCUUGUACAAAUCGAUAUAAGGUAUGUGUGAGCAAAUUACUGCGAAUGAGUCGGUCGGGGUCUUGCGCCGGAGUUUUCGGCCGGAGCUCCAGCAGAUUUUCCAAAAAUUGGCGUCGAUCUUGGGAGACAGAGAGAGGAGAGACAGAGAGGCGAGAACAGCUGGGUCUGUUAUUAGAGAGAGAGAGUGAUUUGAAUGAGAUUUUUUUUUCUUCUUUCUUAAUCCAUUGACCCGAUUUGAAAUGAUCCAUUUUUUUUCAACCAAUUCAAAUCAGAUCCUGGACCGUUGGAUAUCAUUCAAUGGAUGAGAAAGAAAAUUCGGAAUUUAAGCCAAAUUCGAGCUCCCGAU
rnacentral:lncRNA from 1 species